AACGAACGCUGGCGGCGUGUUUAAGACAUGCAAGUCGCACGGUGUCAUUUUGGUAGCAAUACUUGAAUGGCAUAGUGGCGCACGGGUGAGUAACACGUGAAUUACAUGCCCUUCAGAGGGGGAUAGCCCAGGGAAACUUGGAUUAAUACCCCAUGGUCUCGCAAGAGUAAAGGUGGCCGCAAGGCUGUCGCUGAAGGAUUGGUUCGCGCCCUAUCAGCUUGUUGGCGGGGUAACGGCCCACCACGGCUACGACGGGUACCUGGUCUGAGAGGACGAUCAGGCACACGGGAACGGAGACACGGUCCAGACACCUACGGGUGGCAGCAGUCGAGAAUAAUUCACAAUGGGGGCAACCCUGAUGGUGCAACGCCGCGUGGAGGAUGACGGUCUUCGGAUUGUAAACUCCUGUCAUCCGGGAGUAAGACCUGGGAGUUAACAGCUCACAGGGUUGAUAGUACCGGAAGAGGAAGGGACGGCUAACUUCGUGCCAGCAGCCGCCGUAAAAC
rnacentral:rRNA from 1 species